UCUAGAAUAGCUCAGUUGAUAGAACAUGAGACACUUGAUCUCAGGGUCAUGGGUUACAGUCCCAAGUUGGGGGAA